AGAGUUUGAUCAUGGCUCAGAUUGAACGCUGGCGGUAGGCUUAACACAUGCAAGUCGUGCGAGAAAGUAUCUUCGGAUAUGAGUUUAGCGGCGGACGGGUGAGUAACGCGUUGAAUCUUCCUAGUAGAAGGGGAUAGCCCGAGGAAACUCGGAUUAAUACCGUAUACCUCCUUCGGGAGAAAGAAGCCUCUCUUUGAAGCUUUCGCUUCUAGAUGAGCCUGCGUUAGAUUAGCUUGUUGGUGAGGUAAAGGCUCACCAAGGCGACAAUCUUUAUCGGGUCUGAGAGGACGAUCCGCCACAUUGGGACUGAGACCGGCCCCGACUCCUUCCGGAGGCAGCAGUGGGGAAUAUUGGACAAUGGGCGCAAGCCUGAUCCA
rnacentral:rRNA from 1 species